rnacentral:sRNA from 1 species
ACAUCUGUGUGGAAGACUCCCCACUCCAAAGUAGCCUGGUGUGGAAAUUGCUGGACGAAAGGUUGUGAAGAUGACCUCUCCGAGGACAGAGAAGAGCUUCUGCAUGGGAUUUCAGAGCUGGACAUCAGCAACUCGGAUUGUUUCCCAUCCCAGCUGCUAGUGCAUGGGGCUUUAGCCUUUCCUCUAGGGUUAGAUUCCUACCAUGGCUGUGUUAUAGCGGCUGCCCGCUAUGGCCGGGGCCGGGUGGUUGUGACUGGCCAUAAGGUAUUAUUCACUGUUGGUAAACUGGGCCCCUUUCUGCUCAAUGCUGUCCGCUGGCUGGAUGGGGGCCGCAGAGGCAAGAUUGUGGUGCAGACAGAGCUGAGAACCCUGAGUGGCCUCCUCGCAGUGGGGGGCAUAGACACCAGCAUCGAGCCCAAUCUGACCAGUGAUGCAAGUGUCUACUGCUUUGAACCCGUGAGUGAAGUGGGGGUCAAGGAACUGCAGGAGUUUGUAGCAGAGGGUGGCGGGCUAUUUGUUGGAGCCCAAGCCUGGUGGUGGGCCUUCAAGAACCCCGGAGUGUCCCCUUUGGCUCGAUUCCCAGGAAACCUCCUCCUCAACCCCUUUGGCAUCAGCAUUACAAGCCAAAGCCUCAAUCCAGGGCCCUUUCGUACUCCUAAAGCAGGGAUAAGGACCUAUCACUUCCGCUCCACCUUGGCCGAGUUCCAGGUUAUAAUGGGCAGGAAGAGAGGAAAUGUGGAAAAGGGCUGGUUGGCAAAGCUGGGACCAGAUGGUGCAGCUUUCCUGCAGAUUCCCGCAGAAGAGAUCCCUGCCUACAUGUCUGUGCAUCGACUCCUGAGGAAGCUGCUAAGUCGAUAUCGGCUUCCAGUAGCAACCCGAGAGAACCCUGUUAUCAAUGACUGCUGCAGAGGUGCUAUGCUUUCCCUGGCCACAGGGCUGGCCCACUCUGGAAGCGACCUCUCUCUGUUAGUCCCAGAAAUUGAAGAUAUGUACAGCAGCCCCUAUCUGCGCCCCUCAGAAUCUCCUAUCACCGUCGAGGUCAACUGCACCAAUCCAGGCACCAGAUAUUGCUGGAUGAGUACUGGGCUCUACAUACCUGGAAGGCAAAUUAUAGAAGUCUCACUGCCUGAAGCUGCUGCCUCUGCCGACCUGAAGAUACAGAUUGGCUGCCACACAGAUGACCUGACCAGGGCCAGCAAGCUUUUCCGAGGCCCACUCGUGAUUAACCGGUGCUGCUUGGACAAACCCACAAAAUCGAUCACGUGCCUCUGGGGUGGACUCCUCUAUAUAAUUGUGCCUCAGAACAGCAAACUGGGUUCUGUGCCUGUCACCGUGAAGGGGGCUGUGCAUGCUCCAUACUACAAGCUGGGGGAGACCACCCUGGAGGAGUGGAAGAGGCGUAUCCAGGAGAAUCCAGGGCCCUGGGGAGAGCUGGCCACGGACAACAUCAUUCUGACCGUGCCGACCGCAAAUCUUCGUACUCUGGAGAACCCUGAGCCGCUGCUCCGCCUCUGGGAUGAGGUGAUGCAGGCUGUGGCGCGACUGGGAGCUGAGCCCUUCCCUUUGCGCCUGCCUCAGAGGAUUGUUGCCGACGUGCAGAUCUCAGUGGGCUGGAUGCAUGCAGGGUACCCCAUCAUGUGCCAUCUGGAGUCAGUGCAGGAGCUCAUCAACGAGAAGCUCAUCAGAACCAAGGGGCUGUGGGGCCCCGUCCAUGAGCUGGGCCGCAACCAGCAGCGGCAGGAGUGGGAGUUCCCACCACACACCACCGAGGCCACCUGCAACCUGUGGUGUGUGUAUGUGCAUGAGACGGUCUUGGGCAUUCCUCGAAGCCGUGCCAAUAUUGCUCUGUGGCCCCCAGUUCGGGAGAAGAGAGUCAGAAUCUACCUGAGCAAGGGUCCCAAUGUGAAAAACUGGAAUGCAUGGACCGCACUGGAAACGUAUUUACAGCUCCAGGAAGCCUUUGGUUGGGAGCCAUUCAUCCGUCUCUUCACCGAGUACAGGAACCAGACCAACUUGCCCACAGAAAAUGUUGACAAAAUGAAUCUGUGGGUCAAGAUGUUCUCCCACCAAGUGCAGAAGAACCUGGCUCCAUUCUUUGAGGCCUGGGCCUGGCCCAUCCAGAAGGAAGUGGCUACCAGCCUGGCCUAUCUGCCUGAAUGGAAGGAAAAUAUUAUGAAAUUGUACCUCCUCACACAGAUGCCCCACUGAAAUUGAAGUCAAGAAAUGCAAAAAGGAAUUGACACAUCUCAGCAAAGAAAACUGAAGGGAUUUGGUUAUAAGUGGAGAAGAUCUCAGCAUAUUUCUGGAAGAUAGAAAGUGGAUGAAGCAUGAUAAUGAAAGAGUGAAGAACCUUUCAGAUAAAAUGUAAGCUGAUCUGAACAACAUAACCCCAAAGAGACUUGCACACCUGAAAAGCUUGUCUACUGAAGAAUUACUCCAGUUGUAAGAUUGAGCCCUCUCCUACUCUCCCCCAACUCAUAUGCACAGAACAGAGGCAGUCUCCACUAUUGAUA